rnacentral:tRNA from 1 species
CCCUGGUUAGCUUAGUUGGUAGAGCGCUCUACUGGGAAAUGAAGAGGGUCCUGGUUCGGUAUCAGGACCAGGCG